CAGCCGCCGCGGUAAUUCGUAGGGUGCGAGCGUUAAUCUGAUUUACUGGGCGUAAAGCGUGCGCAGGCGGCCCGUUAAGACAGGUGUGAAAUCCCUGGGCUCAACCUAGGAAUUGCGCUUGUGACUGGCGGGCUCGAGUACGGUAGAGGGGGGUGGAAUUCCUGGUGUAGCAGUGAAAUGCGUAGAGAUCAGGAGGAACACCGAUGGCGAAGGCAGCCCCCUGGGCCUGUACUGACGCUCAUGCACGAAAGCGUGGGAAGCAAACAGGAUUAGAUACCCUGGUAGUCCACGCCCUAAACGAUGGGUACUAGCCGUUUGGUGCGCGAAAGCGCUGAGUGGCGAAGCUAACGCGUGAAGUACCCCGCCUGGGGAGUACGGCCGCAAGGUUGAAACUUAAAGGAAUUGGCGGG
rnacentral:rRNA from 1 species